GCCUAUACAAAUGCAUAUAUGAUACGCAUAUAGCUUGAUGAAUUUUCAUAAAUUGAAUAUAGCUGUUUAACCAAUACACAGAUCUAGGAACAGAACAUUAGCAGCAUUCCAGAAACCCUAAGUCCCAAGACCCCUUCUAGUCCUCACCUUCCUCUUCAAAGCUUGAAGAGCACUGGUCUAGAACAUCCCUGGAGAAUCCAAGAGAGUAUUAUAGACUAUGUAAAGAGAGGACAGGAGGAAGAAGCUCAUCUGUGGAUCUGGAGGCAGAUGAUGAAUUACAGUUUGAACCAAAGCUGGACUGGGGGAAAUUCAAGGGUGAAGAGCCAAUCAGCUCUACUGACGGGGGAAUGGUGGCACCUCUUGGUGAAAGAACAGAUUCCUUCCCUUGGCCAGCUAUGCAGGUCCUGCUGAAAGGACAAACCCGAGACAACCAAGUUUUACCCCUUGUAACUCCACUUCACUCCCAGUUCCUGGCCAAAGUUGAUUAGGGAAGAGUAUCUGUCCUCAGUCAGCCAAACAACAGCUCAGCCAGAGACUAUAAGAUGCUCUUAAGCAACAAGAUAAGU
ensembl:lncRNA